rnacentral:lncRNA from 1 species
AUAUUAGUGAGUAAUUGAUUAUAUUAACAACUCUCUAUUGUGCCAUCAAUACUAACAAUCCGACAAUGAAGGAAUUUAUAUAACGACUUACAAUGGCCUUACAAGAGGCACAAUACCACCUCUUUAUUGCAUAAAAUUGACAAAAGUAGUAUGUGGAUAACCAUUGGUAAUACAAGACCUUUAAAAAUGGUGAUUAGGUAUUGCUCUCUAAUGUUGUCGUAUUAUAUGGCAUUUGGCUUGAGAAUGCAUUAGGUACUUUGUUGUGGAAGAUAAAAGAAAAAUUACAACAAUAUGUCCUAAAAACUCUAAUAGAUUCUUAAAUAAAUUAUAAUUAAAAAUUAGCAAAUAUAAUCAAACAUUAAUCAAAUUCAAUUUAAAUUUCAAAGAAAUUAUAUAAGAAACACAAUGAAUUCCUAGAGAUCUUUUAAAAAAAUCAUAAAAGAAUAAUAUAGAAAUUCAAAAAAAAUAUUAAAAUAAAAUUUUUAAUAAAAUAUUAAAAUAAAAACCUUAAUUAGAUUUCAGUCAAAUCUAAUCAAAUCUUUGUCAAACUUUAGUCAAAUCCUUGUCAAAUCUUAGUCAAUUCCCAAAUAAAUCUUAACUAAAUCCUAAACAAAUCCUAGUGAAAUCCUAAUCAAAUUCUAAUCAAAUCUUAAAUAAAUCUUAACUAAAUUCUAAUCAAAUCUUAAAUAAAUCCUAAUCAAAUCUUAAUAAAAUCCUACUCAAAUCCUAGUCAAACUCUAAUCAAAUCUUAAUCAAAAUCUAAUCAAAUCCUAAACAAAUCUUAAUAAAAUCCUAAUAAAAUCCUAGAUAAAUCUUGAAUAAGUCCCAACUAAAUCCUAGACAAAUCCUAGUCAAACUCUAGUGAAAUUCUAAUAAAAUCUUAAACAAAUUCUAACCAUAUUCCAAAUAAAUCCUAGUCAAACCCUAGACAAAUCCUAAAUAAGUCCUAACCAAAUUCUAAACAAAUCCUAAUCAAAUCCUAACCUAAACCAAAUCCUAAUCCUAACCAAACUUUAAAUCAAAUCGAAAAUUCUAAUUGAAAUCUUAAAUCAAAUUCU